rnacentral:rRNA from 1 species
AAGGCGAGGCCGAAAGGCGUAGUCGAUGGGAAACAGGUUAAUAUUCCUGUACUUGGUGUUACUGCGAAGGGGGGACGGAGAAGGCUAUGUUGGCCGGGCGACGGUUGUCCCGGUUUAAGCGUGUAGGCUGGUUUUCCAGGCAAAUCCGGAAAAUCAAGGCUGAGGCGUGAUGACGAGGCACUACGGUGCUGAAGCAACAAAUGCCCUGCUUCCAGGAAAAGCCUCUAAGCAUCAGGUAACAUCAAAUCGUACCCCAAACCGACACAGGUGGUCAGGUAGAGAAUACCAAGGCGCUUGA